GGUUCAGCAGAGGGAUCUAAUGUGUUACUUUUAUAAAGUCAAGAUGAUUUAGGGCAUUUUGUAAAAAGAAAUCUCAUGGAGGGCCCGUUUUUGUUUAAAGGCCCAAACUUAAAAGAAAUUUAGGGCUUUUUGUACGCCGUCGUCAUUUGUUCGAUCAGUCAUACGAAUGAAGAGACGAACGGAUGACGAAGGAACGGAGCUGAUGAACGAAGGCUCGUAGCGAUGAAGAAAGAGCAUUAAGGUUAGCAGCGAUGAAGAAGGAGCACGAAGGCUCGCAGCGGCUAAUCCGGAUGUCUUGGCCGAUCGCGAAGAGGGAGGCAUCUCUGUUUCGACGAGGCCGAACGAAGAGAAGGGAGAAGCACCGAGGCUGCUGUGGAGUUGGCAAAAGGAAGUGGAAUUGAAGUGGAGGAGAAGGGUGCGAGGGGAUGUACGAGAGGCGAGGCCAGAAGGGGAUUUCCGGGGAGUCUCGAUCGAUCGCAAGGAGGAACAACCUUCGGUGCUCGCCUGCUUCGAAAAAGGAGAGAGAAAGACGGGAGCGACAGCAGAGCUGUCGCCGGUUGCUUCCUCGACGAGGGCUGUUGUGGCAGUUCUUCUCCUGGUCCGAUCAAAAGUAAACACGAAGGAAAGGGGAAACAGCUGGAUUGAAGGGGGAAGACGAAUCAGCAAAAGCAAAGGGAAAGGAGUGUUUGCCUGCUUCGUUUGACAGUAAGCAAGGCGCAAAAACGACGGAGGUUUUUUUUUUUUUUUUUUUUUUUUUUUUUUUUUUUUAAAGAGAAAAUCAAUGGAGUUUUUGUGGGUUUAGGGUUUGAUUUUUGACAGGAGAAAGAACGAGGGGGAGGAGGAGGGAUGUACAACCGCUUGUCGUUCUUCUUCUUUGGCUGAAGAUUCAUAAACGGGAAGGAAAGAAGAAGAUAUCAGUUUUUUUGGAUAGAUUUCAUUUUGAGUUUGAAGAUCAAAGAAAAUCUGAUCUUGACUGUACAAAAUUUGGUGUGAAUUGAAAGAGUGUUUGUGUGUAAUAUUGGGUGAAGAAAGAGUGCAAGCAAUCAAACAUUUUGGAUACUUUCUCGUCAUCAUCAUACUUCAUGUACUUGGAGUUCAAGAUGGCAAGUUAUAUAUGUGUAUUUUGGGAUAAUUUUGUAAGCAUGUAUAAGUCAAUAAGUAUGUAUUUUGUAUAUGUAUUGAUCCAUUGAUUUAUUGGAGUACAUAUUUGUGUGUAUUAUUUAGGGAUAUAUAUACUAAAG
rnacentral:lncRNA from 1 species